CCCUUAGAUGUUCUGGGCCGCACACGCGCUACACUGAAGGAGGCAGCGUGUACUCCUGGAUCGAAAGAUUUGGGUAACCCGCGAUUCUCCUUCGUGCUAGGGAUUGAGGUUUGCAAUUAUCCUUCAUGAACGAGGAAUUCCCAGUAAGUGCAAGUCAUAAGCUUGCGCUGACUACGUCCCUGCCCUUUGUACACACCGCCCGUCGCUACUACCGAUUGAAUGAUUUAGUGAGGACUUCGGACUGGGACCGAUGCGGCUUUCGGGCUGCGUCGGUAUUCUGGAAAGAUGUCCAAACUGUAUCAUUUAGAGGAAGUAAAAGUCGUAACA
rnacentral:rRNA from 1 species